GUGAGGCUGGAAGGGUCUUUGUGUGAGCUCAGGACGGCGCUGGACAGGUGGGCCCUGGCUCCAGCUCCGGCUGCAGCGUCUUCCCCGCGCUCCCGAGCCUAUCCCUCGGGCGCCGGCCUGGGCUGUCCAGCGAGAGGGGCGGAGGGGCAGGGCCCCGGGCUAGGUCCAGGCCCGCAGCUGGCAUCAGGGGGGGCCUGGGUGGGAAGACCGGUUGGGGUGGGGGUGCACAGACCCGGGGAAUCUGAGACGCAAGGUUUCCGGCUCUUGGCCGCUAGUGAGGAAGGCUCGAGGCCGAUCCUGGCCCAAAGCAGGGCGCCGGGCCAUUGUCAGUCCUGGGAAGGGGGAUUGGGAGGAGCCCCAGAGGGGCGGCCAUUCCCUGGGGCGGCGUGGAAGGGAGGCAGCACCUCCAGGCGACAAGUAGAGCUGGGCCCUGGCGGGCUGCCACGGGGGUGUCUGGCAGUCUCUCCUGGGUCUAGGGCUGUUCCUCUGAGGUCACGAGGUGGUCCUUCGGGUGUGUCUGGGUUGGGAAGAUAAAACCAGCACGUGUAAUGUAAUACAUGACAAUGGAAGAUUCUACGUAAUUAAGGGUUAACUCUGAAAUCAGAAGACAAGUUUUCCAAGACUUGGGAAGGUGGAGAGAUCAGAGAUCAGUGAGAGAACAAAGAAUCGGGAGGUCACACGCCACCUGCGGAUGGAGGAGACACACGCAGACAAGACAGGCCCCCCGCCACUGUUGGCACACAGGACACCCACCCAGCCUAUGGUCCUGUCUGUGGUUGGACAACAUAAUCAGAAUAACAG
rnacentral:lncRNA from 10 species